rnacentral:rRNA from 1 species
UGAAUACGAGACGCUAAGGCGUCGAAGUAGUGUAUGUCAUACUUCCAAGAAAAGCUUGCACUGUCAUAGAUAAAAAACGCCUGUACCAUAACAGACACAGGUGGGUAGGUAGAGUAUACUAAGGGGCGCGAGAUAACUCUCUCUAAGGAACUCGGCAAAAUAACUCCGUAACUUCGGGAGAAGGAGUGCCUUAUUCGUAAGGUUGCAAUAACAAGAUCCAAGCAACUGUUUAUCAAAAACACAGGUCUCCGCUAAGUCGUAAGACGAUGUAUGGGGGCUGACGCCUGCCCAGUGCCAGAAGGUUAAAGAAGUUGGUUAGCAAUUGCGAAGCUGAUAACUGAAGCCCUGGUGAACGGCAGCCGUAACUAUAACGGUCCUAAGGUAGCGAAAUUCCUUGUCGGGUAAGUUCCGACCCGCACGAAAGGCGUAAUGAUUUGGAUACUGUCUCGGAGAGGGGCUCGGUGAAAUAGACUUGUCUGUGAAGAUGCGGACUACCUGCACCAGGACAGAAAGACCCUAUGAAGCUUUACUGUAACUUGAAAUUGAAAUUGGACUUUAUUCGCGCAGUAUAGGUGGGAGGCGUUGAUUAUAAUCUUGUGGGAUUAUUGGAGCCAUCAGUGAGAUACCACUCUUGUAAUGUUAGAUUUCUAACUUUGAAUCAUUAUCUGGUCAAAGAACAGUUUCAGGCGGGCAGUUUGACUGGGGCGGUCGCCUCCUAAACGGUAACGGAGGCGUACAAAGGUUUCCUCUGAACGGUUAGAAAUCGUAUCUAGAGUGUAAAGGCAUAAGGAAGCUUGACUGUGAGACCUACAAGUCGAGCAGGGACGAAAGUCGGUCUUAGUGAUCUGACGGUACUGAGUGGAAAGGCCGUCACUCAACGGAUAAAAGUUACUCUAAGGAUAACAGGCUGAUCUCCACCAAGAGUUCACAUCGACGGGGAGGUUUGGCACCUCGAUGUCGGCUCAUCGCAUCCUGGGGCGGUAGUACGUCCCAAGGGUUGGGCUGUUCGCCCAUGAAAGCGGUACGCGAGCUGGGUUCAGAACGUCGUGAGACAGUUCGGUCCAUAUCCGGUGUAGGCGUUAGAAUAUUGAGAGGAGCCUUCUUUAGUACGAGAGGACCGAGAAGGACAUACCACUGGUGUACCAGUUAUCGUGCCAACGGUAAACGCUGGGUAGCUAUGUAUGGAGUGGAUAACCGCUGAAAGCAUCUAAGCGGGAAGCCCACCUCAAGAUAAGUAUUCUCAUC